rnacentral:rRNA from 1 species
UACGGAGGGUGCAAGCGUUAUCCGGAUUCACUGGGUUUAAAGGGUGCGUAGGUGGGCAGGUAAGUCAGUGGUGAAAUCUCUGGGCUUAACUCAGAAACUGCCAUUGAUACUAUCUGUCUUGAAUACCGUGGAGGUCAGCGGAAUAUGUCAUGUAGCGGUGAAAUGCUUAGAUAUGACAUAGAACACCAAUUGCGAAGGCAGCUGACUACGGGAGCAUUGACACUGAGGCACGAAAGCGUGGGGAUCAAACAGG